CUGGCGGCGGCUGAGGAAGUGAGAAACGAGGUUACGAGGAUAAGGUCCAUCCGGUCGCUUCGCCUCGCAGAUCGCCACCUUCCUCAUCUACCUCUCGCUCUCACACGUGCACACGGCCGCAUUGCCGCAUUCUCAUCUUCUCGUGCACCUGUGUUCCUUCCCUCGUCUUCCUUAGUCAGCAAGAUCGACGGCGGCGGCAGCGGCUCCCUUCGGCGGAUUGCACACGGGAGUGGAUCCUCGGCUAAUCUAGUGGCCACUGCUUGUUGUGGAUUCAGAUUGAUUCUAUUUCAAUUAUUUAAUUUGAUUUCCUAGAAUUAACCUGAUGCAGCUGGAUUGGCUGCUCGGUGUCUGUGCUGUGGUUGCUGAAGCUUUAGGUGUAGGAAAUUUGGGUUGUCCACUACUUACGAGUAUAUCUUUACUUGGUCGAUUUUAUUUAUGUGAAGAGAUUUUUCAUUUGUAGAUAAAACUCCAUGUCAGAAGCGGAGUCGUCAGCUGCAGCAAUUUCCACCCGUGAAGUAGUCCACAAGCAUCCUUGGCCUGCCCCCGGCAUCUAGCUGCACAUGAGGCCUUGCCAAAGAGGCCAUCAAGGAUGUUCCUGAAAUCUGUAUACAUCGAAUUGCCGCAGCAACAACGAUCAAUCAGCCAUCAAUGGUCGAUACUAUGUGCCCUAUUGAGCUAGGUGGCAAGCAUAUGGCUUCCUAUUGCUGAGUUUGGAGAAGACCUGGACAAAAUUGUUUGAACAUCUGUUUUCUUUUCCCUCAAGUGAAACUUUGGUGCUUAUAUAUCAAUUGCUUAUUCAUACCUUGCUUUUUCUAUUUGUUUGAGUUAGCCUCCCUAUGUUCACAACGCAAGCAUUGUGCACAUUCUGAUGCAUACUGCACAUGUUACAUCUUCGUCUAAGAUUAUUACAUACGUUGGGUCGUACCGUUGUAGCAAUGGUACUGGGUUUAAUUACCCAACUAAUAUCUGUGGUGAUGUUAUAUAGUCCGGAAACAAAGGCUCCUUUCUUAUAUCAAGAAGAAAGUGCCUUCUGUUUUAUCCCUGUUCAUGCUGGCUCUUUUCCCAUGUGUCAAUUAUCUGAAUGUUCUUUUCCUAACUUUUGAAUUUUCCUUUCAGAUUAAAGGUUGUUCUAAUGGUAGUGCAAGUCUCUGUGCAGAUUUUCUACUGAUAGUACCAGAUAAGUCAAUGCUUGCAGUGUGUAACUUCCAGGUACAUUCAAUCUGGUAGCAAAGAAGUUGAAACAAGAGUGUGCUACAAAAGGACAGUGACAAUAUACUAACUCUUGCACUUUACACACAAUUCAACUAUGAUACAGACGUACUUGAAGAGGCUUAUGAAACGCAGUAUCAAGGAG